UAUGUUUUCAUAUAUUUGUAAAUUUACAACAUUUCAAUAAUAGUGUAUAAAUAUAUAAAUGACAAAAGACUAAGAGUUUAGCCGCGGCUCGCAAGAAAUUCACUUUUCUGACCAAUGGCAUUUGCAUUUGGACCACUGUGCGUUGUCGCAGUCCACGACGCGUAACUGCCGCGAUUUAUACAAACAUACGGUUUUGCUUAAGCAGCGGCCAUCAGUUGCUCGUCACAUGUUCGACACUCAAGUAGAGACCACCUCAAGUAACGGGAAUUGUGCAGAAAAUUGGAUCAACGAUCAGUUCUGUGACCAACCGACAACAACAACAACAACAAUAGUUGUGCAAUUGAAAGUGGAGACUGAGAUUUAUUGAAAGUCGAAAACCGAACAGAACCGAAUCGAAAGCCAGCCGCAACUUGUUUGCCAACGCGCCAUUGCCGCCUACAACAUUCUCGAAGCUUUCCGAGCAACGUGCUUUGACCACACGCGGUUGGUUCUGUGUUGUGUUUCUUCUGCCUGUGUGCGUGCGUGUGUGUGUGUGCGUGCGUGUGUGUUUAUGUGUGUGUGUUGAGCGUGUUAAAAAGAAAAAGCCGAAAAAGCAAAAGCGAAUAUCGAAAAGAAUACAAGCAAUAAGGGUUUUAUUUGUCAGUCUGUGGUGUUGUGUGUUGUAAAAAGCAAAUGCAGUCGGCUCGUCGGUUGUUUGCACGUUAACGUCAUAUUCAAACAAUACAAAUUUAACUAUCAAACAUCUUUUGGGCUUUGUUGCGGUGCCACAAGAUCUAUCGAACGCCAACCCCCGCACCGCACCGCUCCAUCGUUUCGUCCAUCGUCAAACGUUAAUUGCACUCUAUGAAUUGCAUUUUUGACUUCCGCUCUCGCUUCCACUCUCUCACUGUGCGCCUCUCUCCGUCUCUGCCUCUCCUGCCGCCGUCGAUACGUUGAUUCUUCUUGCUUGCUGCUGAUUUAUUUUAAUACAGUGGCUGUGCUCUAUUCGAAUUCAACAAAUAGAUUGUUUGUGUGUGAGCGUGCGUAUGUGUGUGCUCUAUAUACCCACAUAUGUACAUUCAAACAUACAACUAUUCACAUUAGUGUUACAUAUACACGUGAGCCAAUCGAACAGAGACUUUGUAAUCGUGUAACCGUAACCAAUAACGUCAGAGUAACUGUAACGGUCAAUAACGCCGCUAAAGCGUUUCGCGAAUCUUCUCUCUCUUACGCGCCCAGCCUGCUCUCGCACGUAUUUACAAGAAGCAGAAGAAGAAGCGUUCAGAUCGUUACGUACUUUUGCUAGCGCCAUCUGGCGUCCGAUUAUAACAGCGCGUAAUUUCGGCUCUCCUCGUCCUUGUUGUGGCCGUGGCGCAAGUGCCCUCUCUCGCUCGCACCGUCGCUGCCGUCUACGUGUUUCGAAGAAAGCAAGUUCAAAGCAAAUAGCGAAUACCAAAGACAUUGAAUCGCGUUCAGCAUCUUGUGAAUUCGGAAAAUAACUGUUAAAGCACGACUAGCCGACCCAGUUUACCAGCAAGGAAUAGGGCAAACGUUUCGAACAGAGGACGCAGUGAAAAAAAAGAGUGUAUGCACAAAAUAAAACAUCAGUCAGAGCCAGCGAAAAACAAGCAACAACAACAU